AUUGAACGCUGGCGGCAGGCCUAACACAUGCAAGUCGAACGAGUGGCGGACGGGUGAGUAAUGACUGGGAAACGGCCCGAGGGAGGGGGAUAACAACUGGACACGGAUGCUGAUACCGCAUUCCAUCGGUUGGGCCCAGAUGGGAUUAGGUAGUAGGUGGGGUAACGGCCCACCUAGGCGACGAUCCCUAGCUGGUCUGAGAGGAUGACCAGCCACACUGGAACGGAGACACGGUCCAGACUCCUACGGGAGGCAGCAGUGGGGAAUAUUGCACAAUGGGCGCAAGCCUGAUGCAGCCAUGCCGCGUGUAUGAAGAAGGCCUUCGGGUUGUAAAGUACUUUCAGCGAGGAGGCGUUACUCGCAGAAGAAGCACCGGCUAACUCCGUGCCAGCCGCCGCGGUAAUAC
rnacentral:rRNA from 1 species